ACCAGUGCGAGAGGCAGGCGCCAAGUAAACGUAAACACCCCGUUUCACGGGGCAUUGCUCCUUAUCGCUUGUUGAGCGCUUUGUGUCACGUGUUUUGUGCAAAAAAGGACUACCGCAUCGUACGCAGUUUGGCCCUACAGUUCUCACUAUGACGCAGAAUUGCCGUUCAUAUUUAGAAGAUCCAGAACACUUAUUCCGGGGUCCAGAAUCGGCGUACGAAGUGUUUGUAAGCAAACACCUGCAAGGUCUGCGGUGUAGAACCUGCUACACUCGAGCAAGUGCUCCGGGGACGUGAGGCAGAUACUGAGGGCACCAAUCCCGAUGUCCUCUCGGCGAGGUGGGCCGAUGCCCUGCACAGCUCGGAGCUCGCCGACCAAAUCUGGGCCGUCCAAGCAGGCGCGCGAAGCGGCGUCUAGGCAAGGCCUGGACGUCUUGACGUGGGACACCUGAGCCCGGGUCAUCAAACUGCAGCAUACUCAAUAAAUGUUUUUUUACAAACCAAC